AUUGAACGCUGGCGGCAUGCCUUACACAUGCAAGUCGAACGGCAGCACGGGGCGACCUGGUGGCGAGUGGCGAACGGGUGAGUAAUGCAUCGGAACGUACCUUUCAGGGGGGGAUAACGUAGCGAAAGUUACGAUAAUACCGCAUAUUCUGUGAGCAGGAAAGCAGGGGGUCGCAAGACCUUGCGCUGAUUGAGCGGCCGAUGGCAGAUUAGCUAGUUGGUGAGGUAAAGGCUCACCAAGGCGACGAUCUGUAGCGGGUCUGAGAGGAUGAUCCGCCACACUGGAACUGAGACACGGUCCAGGCUCCUACGGGAGGCAGCAGUGGGGAAUUUUGGACAAUGGGGGCAACCCUGAUCCAGCCAUGCCGCGUGAGUGAAGAAGGCCUUCGGGUUGUAAAGCUCUUUCGGCCGGGAAGAAAUCGCACGGGCUAAUACCCUGUGUGGAUGACGGUACCGGAAUAAGAAGCACCGGCUAACUACGUGCCAGCCGCCGCUGUAAGAC
rnacentral:rRNA from 1 species